rnacentral:lncRNA from 1 species
AUUUCAUUGUAUGUAUGUGCCUCAUUUUCUUUAUUCAGUCAUUUGUCAGUGGGCAUUGACUCUUUGGCCAUUAUGAAUAAUGCUACAUUAAACAAUGAUAUGCAAAUAUCUCCUUGAUAUUCAGUUUACGGUUUUGUUACAUAUAUACUCAGAAAUGGGAUUGCUGGAUUAUAUGGUAAUUCUAUUUUAAUUUUUAAUGGAAACUCUAUACUGUAUAUCAUAAAGCUAUACCAUUUUACAUUCCCACCAAACACCACACAAGGGUUCUAAUUUAUCUACAACCUUGCCUACACUUGUUUUCUAUUUUUAAAAUAGCCAUCCUAAUGAGUAUAAAAUGGUAUCUCAUUGUAGUCUUGAUUUGCUUUUACUUAAUGAUUAGUGAUGUUGAAAAUAUUUUCAUGUGUUUAUUGGUCAUUUCGUUCAUUUCAUUUCUUCUUCCAAGAAAUGUCUAUGCAAGUCCUUUGCCCACUUCUGAAUCAAGAUGUUCAUUUGUUUCAUUUUGAGUUGUAGGACUUUUUAGAUUAUUUGUUGUCAGUGUAUAGAAACACAACUUACUUCUGCCUGUUGAUUUUAUAUCCUGCAACUUUGCUGAAUUUGUUUAUUCUAACAGUUUUUUUUUUUUUGACAGAGUCGCACUCUGUUGCCUAGGCUGGAGUGCAGUGGCAUGAUCACAGCCCACUGCAGACUGCACUGCCCAGGUGCAAGCAAUUCUCCCACCACAGUCCCCUAAGUAGCUGGGACCACAGGUUUGUGCCACCAUGCCUGACUAAUUUCUAAAUUAUUUGUAGAGAUGAGACUGUCUAUGUUGCCCAAGCUGUUCUUGAACUCCUGGGCUCCUGCCUCAGCCUCCAAAAGUGCUGGGAUUAUAGGCAUGAGCCAGUAUGCCCAGCCUUACUCUCAUAGUGUGUGUGUGUGUGUGUGUGUGUGUGUAUGUGUGUGUGUUUGUGUGAUCUCUAGGAAUCUAUGCAUUUGUCCUAGGUUAUCUCAUUUGUUGGCCUGUACUCAUUCAGUUGUUUCAUAGCAGUCUCUUGAUGCCUUUUAUUUCUGUGGUAUCACUUGCAAUGUCUCAUCUUUCAUUUCUUAUUUUUAUUGACUGUUUUCUCUUUUUCUCAUUAGUUCAGCUAAAAAGUGCUUGUCAAUUUAUUGAUCUUUACAAAAAGCCAGCCCUUAGGUUUACUGAUUAGUUCAUUGUUUUCUACUUUCUUUUUCAUUUAUUUCUUCUCUAAUCUGUCUUAUUCCUUCUUUUAUUUUAUUUACUCCUUUUUUUUUCAUUCCUUGAAGUGUAAAGUCAGGUUGUUAAUUUGAGAUUUUUCUUCUUUGUAUAUAUACGCAUUUACUAUUAUAAGUUUCCUUCUUAGGACUUCUUUUGCUGCAU